UACGUAGGGGGCGAGCGUUGUCCGGAUUUAUUGGGCGUAAAGAGCUCGUAGGCGGUCUGUCACGUCGGCUGUGAAAACCUGGGGCUCAACCCCGGGCCUGCAGCCGAUACGGGCAGACUAGAAUUCGGUAGGGGAGACUGGAAUUCCUGGUGUAGCGGUGAAAUGCGCAGAUAUCAGGAGGAACACCGGUGGCGAAGGCGGGUCUCUGGGCCGAUAUUGACGCUGAGGAGCGAAAGCGUGGGGAGCGAACAGG
rnacentral:rRNA from 1 species